rnacentral:lncRNA from 1 species
ACAGGAUCUCCUUUUCCUAAUAGAUUUGUGCUCCUCUGAGUCUAUGGUAGACACCUCAUGGUACCACAGAGCGUGUUCAGUGGCUGUAUUUAGAGCUCUGUGUGGUGCUCCAGACAUCACGAUGGCUGUGUAGUCUCAGAGCAUUCAGGCACAUUAAUUAUACACUUUUGGUAAAUGUUUUAUCCUAUUUUUUAGAGAAAGAUAGCUGACGCAGACAUAGAAUUAGUAAAUUGUCCUAAUCGAUACCAGCGCCUACCAUCAGCUUAAAGACUUCUAGGCGUUAAUUAUGAGGCACCGCAAACACAUCACUCAGGCGGAUCGGCGGCAGGAGCUCCCGUGUGCUGCUCAGCGCUCAGCCCACACACCCUCCCUCCCUCCACCUCACCUCUCAGUCAGCAGCAAUUGUUUUUGUGAGACGCUCAUCGUUUUAUACCUUCAACUUUCCAACUUUAAAUUCUGCUCUUCAAACUCUGAAAUGGAGUCAGGGCAAAUUUCUGCUCUAGACCACCUGCGGUACACUACAGACACAAAGAACAGGAGAGACAAUAGAAAAAUUGGCGUGUUAGCAGAGUCGUGUAAUGUAAAUGCUCCAGCUGUCAGUCAAACAUCUCAUCUUCACCCAGAAUCUCACCGGUGACGAAUGGCAGCUGCACGGAGCAUGUGCCAAGGAGUUGCAACCAACAUUCAGUAUCAGAAGAUUGGCCAAAGCCAAGGGAGAAACUCCACUUGGAAGAUCAUGAGGAGAACAGUAUCUGAAAAGGAGAUCUGAAUGGAGCAAGAAAGAACUAGGAAAAUCCAGAGCCCUGGAAAUGGAGGCAGAGGCCAAACCUAAUGUUUUAUAUAAAAACUUAAUACAUUAUGAUCUGGGAAAGGGAUGAGACCUAAUCUGAGUCACAGCUUUCUGGAACAGCAUUGGAUUACAUUUAUGCCCCAUUAUAAUUCUGGUUUGCCUUAUUCACUUUAUUUGGGCAACAAAAAGACAACAGAACUACAAUGUUUGGAAAAAAUAUAUAUAUCUCUAAUUCAGGUCUAGCACCCUGCUUUUAGAAGAUGAUAUUGCAUUACUAUGUUUCCAGCUCUGCCUAAAGGCAAUAAGCAGGGAGCUUGGUGGUGGAGCAGCUCCUGUAUUCUGCAGGUCGGUAGGAAUGAUGUGUCUCACCCUACUCCAUUAGUGUCAGUGGGGUUGGGGAUUUCAUUUUCUCUUUUUGUUCAAAGAAAAACUGAAUGCUUUGGGAAUUAUCAUAAUAAGAACAUUAGAUACUCAUACUCACAUCACUUAUUCAGUGCUUUAAUACUUAGCAGCUGUGCUAGAUUCAUAUUAGUACUGGGUAUCUCAUAUAAAGUGUACAAUGGAUGUGAAAGAAGAAAUGCAGGUGUCUUUAACAAUGUUUAUUGGAACAAAUUUGAGUAGCUCAGAUCUUACUAUGCCUCAUUUGAUCUUUUUCACAGCUUUUUUUUUUUUUUUGGUGGAGAAAUGAGGCUUAGUUGUUUCUAAGACCCGGAACCCUUAAUAUAUUUGCUGCUUUUUCUUUCCCUGGUACAAUGGACAAUUUGUUACAGUUACUGCACAGCUCUUGGACAAGCACUUUGUGAUCCUGGUGAUUUGCUACCACUAAUUCUGCCAGCUUAGUUUAAAAUCACCUCGAUUAGCAUUUCUAUGGGAGAAAAUUAUCCAGUUAGAAAAGUUUUUAUAUGGGAACCUCGCCAUUCCCUUCCAUAGUAAACUCUGAGGCAAAUAAUCCAUUUUGCUCUUCUGGGUCUUCAGGGUCAUCACUUACCCUGAAAGAAAGUCCUUUUGCACUUUGAUUAUCCAUAUAGCCCUCUAAUUCUUUGGCUGGUCAAAGGCAAAUGGUAAAAGCAAGUUAUGAUGGAUAGUCCCAAAAAUGCAUAAGAAGUGUUGCUCAGAUUAUUUGCUUUCCAGCUUCAUGAAGUAAUGUGUUUCUGUGGAACAAUUUGCACAUAAUUUAAAUGUAUUUUCAACCUAGAAAAGCCUGUUAACUCAAAACUAUACUAUCUCUUUGUGAAAAAUUAAACUCACCUAACAUUCCUUCAUAAUAAACACAAAUAAGGAGAAACUUACAGUGAAGAAAUUACAGCAGAGCCCAAACAGGGGAGAAUAUUGGACAUUAAAGUAAGGAAAAUUCCACGCCUUUCUUUUCCAAGGACCUGAAAGAAAUACAGUGUUCCUUUUUCUGAGGCUCUCCUCAAGAGAUGAGCGUUUUGUAAAUCACACUCCUCUGAUGAUACAGCAGCAUUUCACGUUGCCAGCGGCCGGGCUGGAACUGGCUUAUUAAUAUUGCAUGAUAAUAGAUAAAUUUGAGUCGAGUGCAUCGUUGUGCAGGUUUAACUCCGUGUAAUUUACCAGCACCUAUGCUAUUUAUAAGACAGCACGGACCUCAGCAUGACACGCUGCUCCUUGCCAAGUAACGAGUACCAAAGUAUAGAUAUAGGAGGAACAGCUAUAGGACAAAGCAGGUGACAUACCUACCAAAACCGAGGUGUCAGCCAAGUGCUGCUUUGCUUCCCCCAUGAUCAUUUUGGUGCUGACUGUGGAUCUAUGGGCACUAGUGGUGGCAGAGUGCUGGCAUUUAAGCUUCUGCUUAAGACUACAGCUACACCGGGGCAUGGCAGGCUGGGGAGAGACAGGCAUAUUAAUGCUGUCAGAAAUACAGACCCCUUAUGCCAGGCUCUGUUGACCCUCCAGGCAUUUAUUUCUCUUUAACGGUCCUCUAUUA